UUCUAAAAAAAAAGAAAAGAAAAAAAAAGGAACAAUACAGAGAAGAUUAGCAUGUCCCCUGCGCAAGGAUGACAUGCAAAUUUGUGAAGUGUUCCAUAUUAGA